rnacentral:lncRNA from 1 species
UAGAAAGUCAGAUAGGAAGGCAAAGGACACGUAAAGGAGAGGAUCACAAAGCAAUGAAGAAAUUCGUUGUCAUGCGUUACAUAUCUGGUGAUCAAACAAAGCAAACAAGAUGAAAUAAAAAUUAUCAAAACUCUCUACUUCCUCAUUUAUUUAAAAAUUUUUAAAUUAAACUAUUUUAAACAACUUUUAUUAUCCUGUAGGAUGUAUGGACUUCAUUUCCUUUGAAUUUAAUGCUAUGGCUGUGGUGGUUCUUUUUCUAACAGGUAACACACAGUAAGGACUCUUUAGUGUGCCCUCAUGCCAAUACAGAAGCCUUUCAUCAUUCCACUUUUCUCCUGCCUAGCACAAUAAAACAAUUUUAUCUUUAGUAUGUUUAUUUCUCUGGAUAAUAAGCAGCUCAACUACUAUUUAGAUUCUGCUCCUAUGCUUCAGAAGCGCUGUUGUCUCUUUGCCUCAUUGUCUGAGUCUUACAGAAGCACACCCCUGCUUCCCCCUGUGGGUCUGAUGGUGUUGUGGCUCAUUUGGUGGGAAGCCAGUCACACACACAAACAAUCCCCAGCCACAUACCCCAGACACCCAGGCCCUAGAGACCAGCUCAGCCAAAGAGUCUACCUAUGAGACCCCCCAAGACUAAUGAAAACUAUGUGACCACAACCAACAGAUGACCACAGUUCAGAUCCGACUGGGCUAUAAAACAAGGUUCCUGCUGAAGACCCCUCUUGAGUGGUUCUCCUCAGAGAAGAAAGUCUGUGAUUGGAAGCUCUCCCUUUGGGUUGAGACAUCACCCAAGGUAACUUCUCCCCAGUUACUGAGUGACCUCGCCUUUUAGGUGAGUGGUUUGCUCAUUUUGAAUCAUUAUUCUAAGCUUAGAUUUAGUACACACAGUGUAGUACCAGUUCCCAACUGACAUCCUGAACCUGUAAAAAGUUGUAUCUGCCAAAGUGUUUGUAGUAUGAGAUUCCUGUUAAAUUUUAUCAUUCUGUCUUUUUUGUGACACUGUUAAAACUGAUUUUUGGAACAUCUUUUGAUGGUCUUACGCUUAUGUGACAAUAUUGCAC